rnacentral:misc_RNA from 1 species
AAGUUGUGCAAGACUUCUGUUUUUGGAUGGCUUCUUGUUAAGUAAGGAAACAUGGUUAAAUCAAAAAAUAAGGAUCCCAAGCUAUGGAAAUACACAUAUGCACAACUAAAAGCAGCAGUUGCAGAAGUGCAACGUGGACAAUCAAUAAGAGUUGUCAGUAAAAAAUACAAGAUUCCAAGAUCGACACUGAAUAAUAAAGUAAAAGAUUCAUCUCCGAAAAUCAAGAAAGGUGGUCCGCCAACAGUAUUGAAGGAAAACGAGGAAAAACAUUUAGUUUCUUGGAUGCUUUUAAUGAGCGAUAAUGGAUUUCCUACGGAAUUCCUGGUCGUAGCUGGUUAAAUGGAUUUUUGAAUCGUCACCCAGAACUCUCCAAACGCAUUGCUCAAAAUUUGACAGCAUGCAGAGCUUCUAUUUCGGAAUUUAG